rnacentral:lncRNA from 1 species
CAGGAGCCAGGAAAAAAAAUACCAUGGAGGAUACGCUAUUUACAGAUGAUUAAAAUGCAGGCGCACACACGCAGAGAAGCAGAGAGCAGACUGGCUCUGUGGUCACCGAGCCAUGGCGGCGAAUGAGAUCACUGAAAGCCAGGAAGACAAUCGGUUGGAUGCACUCCCCUUACUCACCCCUGCUAGGAGCUCACUUUCAUCUCUGGCGGCCCAGCAGAGUCUGCCCACAAAGCAUCUCUGAUGAGGAAGAAACCAACCUACAGCGUCAGGAGCUGUACUUGGAGGAAAACUACCAAAAGACACACGCAGUUCUCCACCUCAAGUCAAUGGUCCAGGCAUAUACUCCAGCUGAAUUCAGGUCUGGGAAAAUCCACUGCAUGUCUGAAAGACCUUAUGUAGCA